GGAAUAUUGGUCAAUGGGCGCUAGCCUGAACCAGCCAAGUAGCGUGAAGGAUGACUGCCCUAUGGGUUGUAAACUUCUUUUAUAUGGGAAUAAAGUGCAGUAUGUAUACUGCUUUGCAUGUACCUUAUGAAUAAGGAUCGGCUAACUCCGUGCCAGCAGCCGCGGUAAUACGGAGGAUCCGAGCGUUAUCCGGAUUUAUUGGGUUUAAAGGGUGCGUAGGCGGGCUUUUAAGUCAGCGGUAAAAAUUCGGGGCUCAACCCCGUCCGGCCGUUGAAACUGGGGGCCUUGAGUGGGCGAGAAGAAGGCGGAAUGCGUGGUGUAGCGGUGAAAUGCAUAGAUAUCACGCAGAACUCCGAUUGCGAAGGCAGCAUACCGACGCCCUACUGACGCUGAGGCACGAAAGCGUGGGUAUCGAACAG
rnacentral:rRNA from 1 species